rnacentral:rRNA from 11 species
GGGUUGUGAGGUUAAGCGACUAAGCGUACACGGUGGAUGCCCUGGCAGUCAGAGGCGAUGAAGGACGUGCUAAUCUGCGAUAAGCGUCGGUAAGGUGAUAUGAACCGUUAUAACCGGCGAUUUCCGAAUGGGGAAACCCAGUGUGUUUCGACACACUAUCAUUAACUGAAUCCAUAGGUUAAUGAGGCGAACCGGGGGAACUGAAACAUCUAAGUACCCCGAGGAAAAGAAAUCAACCGAGAUUCCCCCAGUAGCGGCGAGCGAACGGGGAGCAGCCCAGAGCCUGAAUCAGUGUGUGUGUUAGUGGAAGCGUCUGGAAAGGCGCGCGAUACAGGGUGACAGCCCCGUACACAAAAAUGCACAUGCUGUGAGCUCGAUGAGUAGGGCGGGACACGUGGUAUCCUGUCUGAAUAUGGGGGGACCAUCCUCCAAGGCUAAAUACUCCUGACUGACCGAUAGUGAACCAGUACCGUGAGGGAAAGGCGAAAAGAACCCCGGCGAGGGGAGUGAAAAAGAACCUGAAACCGUGUACGUACAAGCAGUGGGAGCACGCUUAGGCGUGUGACUGCGUACCUUUUGUAUAAUGGGUCAGCGACUUAUAUUCUGUAGCAAGGUUAACCGAAUAGGGGAGCCGAAGGGAAACCGAGUCUUAACUGGGCGUUAAGUUGCAGGGUAUAGACCCGAAACCCGGUGAUCUAGCCAUGGGCAGGUUGAAGGUUGGGUAACACUAACUGGAGGACCGAACCGACUAAUGUUGAAAAAUUAGCGGAUGACUUGUGGCUGGGGGUGAAAGGCCAAUCAAACCGGGAGAUAGCUGGUUCUCCCCGAAAGCUAUUUAGGUAGCGCCUCGUGAAUUCAUCUCCGGGGGUAGAGCACUGUUUCGGCAAGGGGGUCAUCCCGACUUACCAACCCGAUGCAAACUGCGAAUACCGGAGAAUGUUAUCACGGGAGACACACGGCGGGUGCUAACGUCCGUCGUGAAGAGGGAAACAACCCAGACCGCCAGCUAAGGUCCCAAAGUCAUGGUUAAGUGGGAAACGAUGUGGGAAGGCCCAGACAGCCAGGAUGUUGGCUUAGAAGCAGCCAUCAUUUAAAGAAAGCGUAAUAGCUCACUGGUCGAGUCGGCCUGCGCGGAAGAUGUAACGGGGCUAAACCAUGCACCGAAGCUGCGGCAGCGACGCUUAUGCGUUGUUGGGUAGGGGAGCGUUCUGUAAGCCUGUGAAGGUGUGCUGUGAGGCAUGCUGGAGGUAUCAGAAGUGCGAAUGCUGACAUAAGUAACGAUAAAGCGGGUGAAAAGCCCGCUCGCCGGAAGACCAAGGGUUCCUGUCCAACGUUAAUCGGGGCAGGGUGAGUCGACCCCUAAGGCGAGGCCGAAAGGCGUAGUCGAUGGGAAACAGGUUAAUAUUCCUGUACUUGGUGUUACUGCGAAGGGGGGACGGAGAAGGCUAUGUUGGCCGGGCGACGGUUGUCCCGGUUUAAGCGUGUAGGCUGGUUUUCCAGGCAAAUCCGGAAAAUCAAGGCUGAGGCGUGAUGACGAGGCACUACGGUGCUGAAGCAACAAAUGCCCUGCUUCCAGGAAAAGCCUCUAAGCAUCAGGUAACAUCAAAUCGUACCCCAAACCGACACAGGUGGUCAGGUAGAGAAUACCAAGGCGCUUGAGAGAACUCGGGUGAAGGAACUAGGCAAAAUGGUGCCGUAACUUCGGGAGAAGGCACGCUGAUAUGUAGGUGAAGUCCCUCGCGGAUGGAGCUGAAAUCAGUCGAAGAUACCAGCUGGCUGCAACUGUUUAUUAAAAACACAGCACUGUGCAAACACGAAAGUGGACGUAUACGGUGUGACGCCUGCCCGGUGCCGGAAGGUUAAUUGAUGGGGUUAGCGCAAGCGAAGCUCUUGAUCGAAGCCCCGGUAAACGGCGGCCGUAACUAUAACGGUCCUAAGGUAGCGAAAUUCCUUGUCGGGUAAGUUCCGACCUGCACGAAUGGCGUAAUGAUGGCCAGGCUGUCUCCACCCGAGACUCAGUGAAAUUGAACUCGCUGUGAAGAUGCAGUGUACCCGCGGCAAGACGGAAAGACCCCGUGAACCUUUACUAUAGCUUGACACUGAACAUUGAGCCUUGAUG